rnacentral:lncRNA from 10 species
UUCUCAGGCCCUGGUGUUUCCCAUGACAGUAAAAGGUGGGGGCUUCAGAUUUCUCCAAGGGAAAAGUUAAAGCAACACACACCUAUUUAUUUUUACUGUAAUUUCAGAAAAGAGAGGUUAAAACCAAGACAUGGACAAAGCCUCCGAAUGAAGGCAGCCCUUUAAAUGGAAUAAAUUUGGUUUCAUGGCACAUUAAUGGGGUGUCUUCUCUCCGAAGACACAGAGACAACUACAGUAGGUCUGGGGGCCGUCAGGGAUUGGAGGAACGAAGGUAAGAAAAGGAAGAAGGUAAGAAAAAGAGGUCCCUACCUCUGUGAGGUAGGGACAGUGCUGAACAGCAGGGCUGGGAGAGCCCACAGGGAGGUGGCCAGGAUGGCCACAGGGCCUGGGGAGGACCAGGUGGGGCACCAUCCUGCGGUAGAGAAUGCCCGUCACCUGCCCUAGGGGCCACCCAGAAUGCAGAUUAAAUAAGUAUUUGGGAAUGGCACAGGAGCUUUUCCAUUUUCGUGGGUUAGAGGAAAGCUGCUGCGUUCAAGAGGAUAACGUGGGACCUGAGCAUUCUGUUUCAGUUCUGUUGGUGUGAUUCUGCAUUGGAGAUGGCGUGCUGUAACGAAUGGCCAGGAGCUUAAGAGUCAUGCAGACUUGGGAGGCCUGGCCUUGCCACGCCCAGCUGCAUGGCCAUCCUCCUCCUGUUUCUGGCCGUUCUGUUUCUAAACCUUGGGGUUCUGAUAUUCCUACAUGUAAACUAGGGGCUGUAAUAGGAAUCUCACAGGUGAGUCUUAGGAUUAUAAGAGGAGACAUGACUGCAUGUGUAAGACAUCAUAAUGAUGUGCUUCCUCAUCUGACCCUACCUCCAGGUUCUUUGAUAACCUCAUGGUUCCCAUUUUCUAGAACAGUUGCCACUUGCACUCAGAUAAAGGUGACUCACUGAAUGCAUAAAUAAGUGUAGUGCCGGAUUUGCAUACUUUUGGUAGACUGUCAUAUAAUAAAUUUAUAAAUCAGAAUUUUAAAACUCCAGGUGGGGCCGGGCACAGUGGCCCAUGCUUGUAAUCCCAGCCAGCAUUUUGGGAGGCUGAGGCAGGCAGAUCACUUGAGGUCAGGAGCUCGAGGUCAGCCUGGCCAACCAGGGUUUUAGUAGAAACCCUGUCUGUACUAAAAAUACAAAAAUUAGCUGGGCGUGGGUGCGCAUACCUGUAGUCCCAGCUACUCAGGAGGCUGAGGCAGGAGAAUUGUUUGAACCCAGGAGGUGGAGAUUGCAGUGAAGCAAGAUCGCACCGCUGCACUCCUGCCUGGGUGACAGAGUGAGACUCCAUCUCAAAAACAAACAAAACAAAACUCCAGGUG